UUCGCAAUGCCCGAAAGGGUGAACGAGCGACGCCGCGUGCGGGAUGAAGGGUUUCGGCUUGCAAACCGCUUUUUUUCGGGAAGAAUGCACCGGUCGCGAACCGGUGAGGGACGGUACCGGAAGAAUAAGCCCCGGCUAACUCCGUGCCAGCAGCCGCGGUAAGACGAAGGUGGCAAGCGUUGCUCGGAAUCACUGGGCAUAAAGCGCGCGUAGGUGGCGUGGUAAGUCAGUGGUGAAAUCCCAUAGCUUAACUAUGGAACUGCCGCCGAUACUGCCAUGCUUGAGGACGGUAGGGGAGAGUGGAACUCCUGGUGUAGCGGUGAAAUGCGUAGAUAUCAGGAGGAGCGCCGGUGGCGAAAGCGACUCUCUGGGCCGCUCCUGACACUGAUGCGCGAGAGCUAGGGGAGCAAACAGGAUUAGAUACCCUGGUAGUCCUAGCUGUAAACGAUGGGCACUAAGUAGAGGGGUUUU
rnacentral:rRNA from 1 species